rnacentral:rRNA from 1 species
CGGCGCGGCGAUAGCACGUUCAAUGCACCAGUUCCCCUUGGAUCACUGAAGUUGAACAACGUUGAACGUGAUUAGUAUCCGGCUGGGUGACCAUCUGGGGAAUUAUAAAGUAUACGUACUUC